rnacentral:rRNA from 1 species
UAAUACGGAGGAUCCAAGCGUUAUCCGGAUUUAUUGGGUUUAAAGGGUGCGUAGGCGGAUGAUCAAGUCAGCGGUGAAAGUUCAUGGCUCAACCAUGGAAUUGCCGUUGAAACUGGUUAUCUUGAGUGUAGAUGAGGUAGGCGGAAUUCGUAGUGUAGCGGUGAAAUGCUUAGAUAUUACGAAGAACUCCAAUUGCGUAGGCAGCUUACCAGGCUACAACUGACGCUGAGGCACGAAGGUGCGGGUAUCAAACAGG